rnacentral:rRNA from 1 species
CAGCCCUUGACAUGGACGUCGGGGUCCCGAGAGAUCGGGCCUUCGGUUCGGCCGGACGUCACACAGGUGCUGCAUGGCUGUCGUCAGCUCGUGUCGUGAGAUGUUGGGUUAAGUCCCGCAACGAGCGCAACCCUCAUCUUCAGUUGCCAUCGGGUAACGCUGGGCACUCUGAAGAAACCGCCGGUGACAAGCCGGAGGAAGGCGGGGAUGACGUCAAGUCCUCAUGGCCCUUAUGGGCUGGGCUACACACGUGCUACAAUGGUGGUGACAACGGGAUGCAAUGGCGCGAGCCCUAGCAAAUCUCGAAAAGCCAUCUCAGUUCAGAUUGCACUCUGCAACUCGGGUGCAUGAAGGUGGAAUCGCUAGUAAUCGCGGAUCAGCAUGCCGCGGUGAAUA